rnacentral:snRNA from 1 species
CAACACAAACCACAAGUA